UUCGAAAUUCAAACAAAACAAAAAGGAACCCCUCACUCUCCUUCUUCUUCAAUCUACAAGUUGAAAAGAAGAGGAAAGAAGAAGAAGAAAAAAAAAGCCCCUCUCCCUCCGUGACCGGCGAUUCAAGAUUAGCUUACAUUUGUUAUUGCUUCUUCAUUUUUUUCCAAUAAAAUUAAUUCCCAAUCCAAGUAGUACUACUGUAGUUUUUGUUUUAACAAUUGUAUGGAUACGGAGAAGAAGGCGAUGGCGUCCGAUUGCACCUUGAAUAAGCAGGAGUCAGAGUCGGAGUGGUUGUCGUUGGACCCAGAAAUGGAGUUUUUGGCAUCGAAACAAGAAACUGGGAACGAGUGGGAGCUGUUCAAGGAAAAUGUGAGGCCUUUGAAGCGGGGCCGCAACGUCGCUCUUCUCAACACUGCUCUCAAAUCCCACUCAUCCUCCUCCACCCUCAGGACUCAACUUCUUCACCAUCGCAGGAGGUUGAUUGAAGCCAUAGAUGAAUAUGAAGGUGACGAUCCUCUCCAACCUUGGCUUCGGUGCGUUAAGUGGGUUCAGGAGGCUUUUCCUGCUGGUGGAGACUCCUCCGGCUUAGUAGUCAUCUAUGAGCAGUGUGUCCGCUCUUUUUGGCACCAGGACCGCUACAAGGAUGAUCUUCGCUAUCUCAAUGUUUGGUUGGAAUAUGCGGCAAAUUGUAUUGAUGCUCAAGUCAUCUAUAGUUUUCUCGAGGCAAACAAAAUUGGCCUCACACAUGCUUCCUUCUAUAUAUCCUUUGCUCUUCACAUGGAAUCCAAGAACAAAACUAGAACUGCUAAUGAAAUCUUCAAUCGAGGCAUAUCUAUGAAUGCACGACCAAUUGAAAAAUUGAAGGCAGCCUAUAAAAAGUUUCUGAAUCGGUCAAUGAGAAGGUCAAUAGCUGUAGAGGAGGACAGAACAGAGAAUCAGUUCCCACUUAGAAGUUUUGGGACUGUACUGGCUACGGGAGAACGCCGAAACCAGGCAGAUGAUUCUGAUUUUGCUAUGAAAAAGUUGAAAACAGAUAGGAUUCAAGGGACUGCAAUACCUAUCUAUGAAGAUUCUGGUAGGAAUAUGAUAUCGGACCUACAAUCACAAACUUCAAAGUUGGAGUCAAAACCAUGGCAGAGUCUCGGUGUUCGCGCAGAGAGAAAUAAGGAGAACAACUCAGUUCCUUCUAAAUGGGCCUCAAAUAAGAUUCCCCAGAGAUUUGGGCAUAGAUUUGGAGGAACAAUUACAACUCCGUCUAUUGAGAUCUUUGUGGAUGACGAUUGUGCCGAAGCACAGAAGAUGGAUAAGGAGACUGGAAAAUCAUCAACUCUACAACUCAGACACGGGGAUGGUAGAGACCUUAAGAAGGAAACGGAGCUAUUGAGAGAGAAUCCCUUGCGCAAUUUUCCCCCAAGUUCUUUGCCUAGAUAAUCCGAGGAAGGACAUUAUUUCAUCUCUGUUGUUGUAUCCGAGUAAAGCAGACUUGAUCCAGUCUGCCAUUUCUCUUUUUGAUGAACGAAAUUGCAAAUUUAUUAACAUCCAGAAAAUCAAUUGAGAAGAGAUCUAUAUCACUUUCUUGCA